GCUCAGUCGUGUCCGACUCUUAGCUGCCCCAUGGACUUGCAGCCUACCGGGCUCCUCCGUCCAUGGGAUUUUCCAGGCAAGAGUACUGGAGUGGGGUGCCAUUGCCUUCUCCGAGCCUGCUCCUUAAGUAUGUUAAAAAAUAGAGCCUUGAAAGUCAUGGUUGUGAAGAGGGAGGACAGGAAAAUGAGUGAAAUAGCUCACACGGUGCACUUGUCUUCGGAGCAGCGAUUCACACGGUGCAUUUUUCUUCGGAGCAAGGAGUCCUGUCAGUUUCUCAGAGUGGCUAUUUCAUCUCUUACAGUCUCAGUAAGAAUGUCUUGGUCAGCCGCGGGUUAGCAGCUCGGGAGCUGACUUAGAUCUCUGCCUUGCUGACUCCUUGUACCUUUUUGAUUUCAGCUCAAAUGUCAUUUCUUAGAGAGCCUUCCUCCCACCCAGUCUGGGAUUUCCUUCCCCCCAGCUCUGCUCCCUGUGUUCUCUGUCUCAUCAUUCUGUUUCAUUUUCUUCACAGCACCUAUCACUGUUUGAAAUGGUUUUAUUUCUUUAGUGGCCUGUUUAGUGUCUCUGUCUCUCUCUGUGUUACCUCUGAGACAUAAGCUCCAUGCCACGGAAGCCAGCCGUGCCUCCCUGGUUUACUGUUGUUUUUCAUAACACAUAGAAUGGUGCCUGGCUUAUGGCAAGUGCUUCAUAAUUCAAAUUCAUCGAGUGACUCGAUGAAAGAAUGAAUUAGUGAGGAAGUAUGUGCUUUUCUGUUGCUCAAUCCCACAGUAAUAUAGUGCCCAUAUACUGGCUUGUGGUCUUUCCCUAUGAGGGGGAUCCAGAGGGACUCCAUUAGCUUUCUAUUGUUGCAGCAACAAGUUACCACAGACUUAGCAACUUGAUAGGCAUUUGUUAUCUUAAAGUUCUAGAGAUCAGAAGCCCACACAGGUCUCACUGGGUUAACACCAAGGUGUUAGCCGGUCUGCGUUUCUCUCUGGAGGCUCCAGGGGGAAUCCAUUUUCUUGCCUGUUUCAGCUUCUUGAGGCCACACACAUUCCUUGAUUUGCACCCCUUUCAAGGUCUUUAAAGCCAGCCGUGAUGAGUUGACUCUUUCUCGGGUUGCCAUCUCUCUGAUUCACUGCAGCUGGGGUGCUUUCUCUGCUUUAAGGAUUCAUGUGAUUAGAUUGGGCUCACUUAGAUAAACUAGGAAAACCUGCCAUCUCAAUGUUCUUAUUACUCAAGUCUGCAAAGUCCUUUGGUCAGGGGAAAGGCUUGGAAGCCCGGAGCUGACACGUCUGCUGCCUCAAUUACCAGACCUGGGUUCGUGGGCAGCACUUGGAUUCGUCGAGCCUCUUGUGAAGAGAGCCUACAAAUCGUCGGCAUCUCCAG